AUUCCUGGCUCAGAUGAACCGUGGCGGCAUGCCUUACACAAUGCAAGUCGACGCCAGCACGGGUGCUUGCACUUGGUGGCGAGUGGCGAACGGGUGAGUAAUACAUCGGAACCAUGUCCUGUAGUGGGGGAUAGCCCGGCGAAAGCCCGGAUUAAUACCGCAUACGAUCCAUGGAUGAAAGCGGGGGACCUUCGGGCCUCGCGCUAUAGGGUUGGCCGAUGGCUGAUUAGCUAGUUGGUGGGGUAAAGGCCUACCCAAGGCGACGAUCAGUAGCUGGUCUGAGAGGACGACCAGCCACACUGGGACUGAGACACGGCCCAGACUCCUACGGGAGGCAGCAGUGGGGAAUUUUGGACAAUGGGCGAAAGCCUGAUCCAGCAAUGCCGCGUGUGUGAAGAAGGCCUUCGGGUUGUAAAGCACUUUUGUCCGGAAAGAAAUCCUUGGCUCUAAUACAGUCGGGGGAUGACGGUACCGGAAGAAUAAGCACCGGCUAACUACGUGCCAGCAGCCGCGGUAAUACGUAGGGUGCAAGCGUUAAUCGGAAUUACUGGGCGUAAAGCGUGCGCAGGCGGUUUGCUAAGACCGAUGUGAAAUCCCCGGGCUCAACCUGGGAACUGCAUUGGUGACUGGCAGGCUAGAGUAUGGCAGAGGGGGGUAGAAUUCCACGUGUAGCAGUGAAAUGCGUAGAGAUGUGGAGGAAUACCGAUGGCGAAGGCAGCCCCCUGGGCCAAUACUGACGCUCAUGCACGAAAGCGUGGGGAGCAAACAGGAUUAGAUACCCUGGUAGUCCACGCCCUAAACGAUGUCAACUAGUUGUUGGGGAUUCAUUUCCUUAGUAACGUAGCUAACGCGUGAAGUUGACCGCCUGGGGAGUACGGUCGCAAGAUUAAAACUCAAAGGAAUUGACGGGGACCCGCACAAGCGGUGGAUGAUGUGGAUUAAUUCGAUGCAACGCGAAAAACCUUACCUACCCUUGACAUGGUCGGAAUCCUGCUGAGAGGCGGGAGUGCUCGAAAGAGAACCGGCGCACAGGUGCUGCAUGGCUGUCGUCA
rnacentral:rRNA from 1 species